rnacentral:siRNA from 1 species
AUACGCUGGUAUUAACUUCCAAC